rnacentral:lncRNA from 1 species
GUGUGCACCUCAAUCACCUCAAAUUCAUUAAAAAAAAAUGCCAUGAUGGUUCUAAAAAGCUGAAAUGGCUGCACGAAGCUGGAUUUUCAUCAAAGGCCAUGAGUUCAUAACCACAAAUUCAGGUGGACAACCCGGGGGUGAAGGAGUUCUCCCAAAUAUCCAACCUGAACCUCUCCUGCUGCAGCUUGGGGCCAUUUCCUCUAGUCCUGUCCCUUGUUCCCUGGAAGGGAAGGAAAAAAAUGGUGGCAAAUGGAACAAAUUCCUAAGGGGCUCUCACCACGAGCAAGAACAUCCCAAAAAUCGCCUCGGAAAGAAUCAGUGGAGAAUUAGCUGGAACUUCAAAGAUAUCAGAAGUAUUAAUUCUGAACUGGAAGAUUGCUCCUGCCCACGUACACAGGGAACCUUUGGGGAAUAAAUUGGAGUUUCCUGAACAUUCCUUUCCUAUGGCAGGGAAAGAAUUACAAGGUCUGGAGACGUGGUUUAUGGCAAGCACCAACAGCUCUGAUUUCAGAGCCUUGUGGAGCUGUUGCAAUUUGAAAAUAAAAAACUUUCCAUCAUCA